GAUAAACGCCGGCGGCGCACAUAAGACAUGCAAGUCGAACGGACUUAACCGAAUGUUUACAUUUGGAGCGGUUAGUGGCGGACUGGUGAGUAACGCGUGAGCAACCUGCCUAUUAGAGGGGAAUAACAGUGAGAAAUCAUUGCUAAUACCGCAUAUGCCAUAAUAGUCACAUGACUAUAGUGGGAAAGGAGUAAUCCGCUAACAGAUGGGCUUGCGUCUGAUUAGAUAGUUGGUGGGGUAACGGCCUACCAAGUCGACGAUCAGUAGCCGGACUGAGAGGUUCAACGGCCACAUUGGGACUGAGAUACGGCCCAG
rnacentral:rRNA from 1 species